rnacentral:lncRNA from 1 species
GUCUUGGUUGUGCACGAUCCUUUUCAUUUACACCUUUUGUUUGCGAGUGAAAAGCUAGCCUUUUUAUAGCUCUGCGUACAGUGACACCGAGGUCUUAGGCCAUUCCGAUAUGUCUACGGUUUUUUUUUUAAAGAAGCUCUAGAUCUCAAAUAUCGUAACAUGACUGCAAUACAUCAUAUUCACAAACCACUUAAAUAAACUAUGUUACUUUC